UGAUUAUCCCUCCGUAACACUGAGGCUCUUUUGUGCGUCUCCCUCCAGUACUCUGAUUAUCCCUCAGUAACACUGAGGCUCUUUUGUGCGUCUCCCUCCGGUACUCCGAUUAUCCCUCAGUAACACUGAGGCUCUUUUGUGCGUCUCCCUCCAGUACUCUGAUUAUCCCUCCGUAACACUGAGGCUCUUUUGUGCGUCUCCCUCCAGUACUCUGAUUAUCCCUCCGUAACACUGAGGCUCUUUUGUGCGUCUCCCUCCAGUACUCUGAUUAUCCCUCCGUAACACUGAGGCUCUUUUGUGCGUCUCCCUCCAGUACUCUGAUUAUCCCUCCGUAACACUGAGGCUCUUUUGUGCGUCUCCCUCCAGUACUCUGAUUAUCCCUCCGUAACACUGAGGCUCUUUUGUGCGUCUCCCUCCAGUACUCUGAUUAUCCCUCCAUAACACUGAGGCUCUUUUGUGCGUCUCCCUCCGGUACUCUGAUUAUCCCUCAGUAACACCGAGGCUCUUUUGUGCGUCUCCCUCCGGUACUCCGAUUAUCCCUCAGUAACACUGAGGCUCUUUUGUGCGUCUCCCUCCGGUACUCUGAUUAUCCCUCAGUAACACUGAGGCUCUUUUGUGCGUCUCCCUCUGGUACUCUGAUUAUCCCUCAGUAACACCGAGGCUCUUUUGUGCAUCUCCCUCCGGUACUCUGAUUAUCCCUCCGUAACACUGAGGCUCUUUUGUGCGUCUCCCUCCGGUACUCUGAUUAUCCCUCCGUAACACUGAGGCUCUUUUGUGCGUCUCCCUCCAGUACUCUGAUUAUCCCUCCGUAACACCGAGGCUCUUUUGUGCGUCUCCCUCCGGUACUCUGAUUAUCCCUCAGUAACA